UAAUACGAGGGGUGCAAGCGUUAAUCGGAAUUACUGGGCGUAAAGCGUUCGUAGGCGGUCUAUUAAGCAAGAUGUGAAAGCCCAGGGCUCAACCUUGGAACUGCAUUUUGAACUGGUAGACUAGAGUACUGUAGAGGGUGGUGGAAUUUCCAGUGUAGCGGUGAAAUGCGUAGAGAUUGGAAGGAACAUCAGUGGCGAAGGCGGCCACCUGGACAGAUACUGACGCUGAGGAACGAAAGCGUGGGGAGCGAACAGGAUUAGAUACCCUGGUAGUCCACGCCGUAAACGAUGUCAACUAGCCGUUUGUGUCCUUGAGACGUGAGUGGCGCAGCUAACGCACUAAGUUGACCGCCUGGGGAGUACGGCCGCAAGGUUAAAACUCAAAG
rnacentral:rRNA from 1 species